ensembl:lncRNA LOC102551319 uncharacterized LOC102551319
CAGUUGCAAAGAUUUGAGGUAAUCUUUUGGGCCAGACCAGGGCCCUAUUGUUAUGAUAACCCAACUUCACUAGGCAUCUACCAUAGCUAUCCAAAAACUUCAUGACCACUUCAGGACAAAGUGAAGCUGUUUUCACCCAGGCCAGGCUCCUGCUUCCAUCACUCUCUUGGCUCGCUGGCCUUAUCUAACCCUAGGCACUUGUAGCGUGUGAGUCUGCUGGAAUCUAUACCACAGGGUCUCACACUAUGCAGCUGAAGUUGGCCGACAACUCCUGAUCCUCUGGCGUGCUAGGAUCAUUGGCAAGACUCCCUUACUGGACUCAAUGCUGAACCAUUCUGACCUCAAGAGAAUGCCGUACAAGGAAUUUGUUAUCUUCGGUUAACAGCAGAGCAGUAGACUCAGCGUCUGGGGAAAGUUUUACUGAUCUUCGUUGCUCCUGAUACAUAAAUAUCUUCACCUCCCCAAGAUCUAAAAGGCUUCAGUCUGCUCUAUCCCAGGUUGUUGGCAUCUUCAAUAAAUUCUUUGGUCCCC